CUCGAGUGGCGAACGGGUGAGUAACACGUGGGUGAUCUGCCCUGCACUUCGGGAUAAGCUUGGGAAACUGGGUCUAAUACCGGAUAGGAACCAUCUUUAGUGUGGUGGUUGGAAAGUUUUUUCGGUGUAGGAUGAGCUCGCGGCCUAUCAGCUUGUUGGUGGGGUAAUGGCCUACCAAGGCGGCGACGGGUAGCCGGCCUGAGAGGGUGUACGGCCACAUUGGGACUGAGAUACGGCCCAGACUCCUACGGGAGGCAGCAGUGGGGAAUAUCGCACAAUGGGCGCAAGCCUGAUGCAGCGACGCCGCGUGGGGGAUGAAGGCCUUCGGGUUGUAAACUCCUUUCGCUAGGGACGAAGCUUUUUGUGACGGUACCUAGAUAAGAAGCACCGGCUAACUACGUGCCAGCAGCCGCGGUAAUACGUAGGGUGCGAGCGUUGUCCGGAAUUACUGGGCGUAAAGGGCUCGUAGGUGGUUUGUCGCGUCGUCUGUGAAAUUCUGGGGCUUAACUCCGGGCGUGCAGGCGAUACGGGCAUAACUUGAGUGCUGUAGGGGUAACUGGAAUUCCUGGUGUAGCGGUGAAAUGCGCAGAUAUCAGGAGGAACACCGAUGGCGAAGGCAGGUUA
rnacentral:rRNA from 1 species